AGAGUUUGAUCAUGGCUCAGAUUGAACGCUGGCGGAAUGCUUUACACAUGCAAGUCGAACGGCAGCACGGACUUCGGUCUGGUGGCGAGUGGCGAACGGGUGAGUAAUACAUCGGAACGUGCCCAGUCGUGGGGGAUAACGUAGCGAAAGCUACGCUAAUACCGCAUACGAUCUAAGGAUGAAAGCGGGGGAUCGCAAGACCUCGCGCGAUUGGAGCGGCCGAUGGCAGAUUAGGUAGUUGGUGGGGUAAAGGCUCACCAAGCUGACGAUCUAUAGCUGGUCUGAGAGGAUGAUCAGCCACACUGGGACUGAGACACGGCCCAGACUCCUACGGGAGGCAGCAGUGGGGAAUUUUGGACAAUGGGCGCAAGCCUGAUCCAGCCAUUCCGCGUGCAGGACGAAGGCCUUCGGGUUGUAAACUGCUUUUGUACAGAACGAAAAGCUCUGAGUUAAUACCUCGGGGUCAUGACGGUACUGUAAGAAUAAGCACCGGCUAACUACGUGCCAGCAGCCGCGGUAAU
rnacentral:rRNA from 1 species